AUGAGUGACAGCAGAGGAAACAUCAUCACCAUCAUUGGUGUGUUUGAUAUUACCAUUCCAGUUCGCAAUUCGGUCUGUUCUGUUUGUAAUCGGAAGGCACUUUGUUUCAUGGCAGAAAGUGGCUUCUGUUCCUCAGCUGCAGGGGGAAGGAGCACUUGUGGGUGGAGACCAGAGAACCUCUCUUCUCAUCAGUCUUCCACCCUUCCUCUCUGGUCUCCAUCCUCUACUCCUCCUCUCCACUCCUUCCUCUCUGGUCUCCAUACUCCUCCUCUCCACUCCUUCCUCUCUGGUCUCCAUACUCCUCCUCUCCACUCCUUCCUCUCUGGUCUCCAUCCUCUACUCCUCCUCUCCACUCCUUCCUCUCUGGUCUCCAUCCUCUACUCCUCCUCACCACUCCUUCCUCUCUGGUCUCCAUCCUCUACUCCUCCUCUCCACUCCUUCCUCUCUGUCUCCAUCCUCUACUCCUUCCUCUCUGGUCUCCAUCCUCUACUCCUCCUCUCCACUCCUUCCUCUCUGGUCUCCAUCCUCUACUCCUCCUCUCCACUCCUUCCUCUCUGGUCUCCAUCCUCUACUCCUCCUCUCCACUCCUUCCUCUCUGGUCUCCAUCCUCUACUCCUCCUCUCCACUCCUUCCUCUCUGGUCUCCAUCCUCUACUCCUCCUCACCACUCCUUCCUCUCUGGUCUCCAUCCUCUACUCCUCCUCUCCACUCCUUCCUCUCUGGUCUCCAUCCUCUACUCCUCCUCACCACUCCUUCCUCUCUGGUCUCCAUCCUCUACUCCUCCUCACCACUCCUUCCCCUCUGGUCUCCAUCCUCUACUCCUCCUCUCCACUCCUUCCUCUCUGGUCUCCAUACUCCUCCUGACCACUCCUUCCUCUCUGGUCUCCAUCCUCUACUCCUCCUCUCCACUCCUUCCCCUCUGGUCUCCAUCCUCUACUCCUCCUCUCCACUCCUUCCCCUCUGGUCUCCAUCCUCUACUCCUCCUCUCCACUCCUUCCCCUCUGGUCUCCUUCCUCUACUCCUCCUCACCACUCCUUCCUCUCUGGUCUCCAUCCUCUACUCCUCCUCUCCACUCCUUCCUCUCUGGUCUCCAUCCUCUACUCCUCCUCUCCACUCCUUCCCCUCUGGUCUCCAUCCUCUACUUCUCUCAUCCACUAUGCCACUGUAUUCCAUGUUGCCUUGGACGUCUGUCUGUCUGUCUGUCUGUCUGUCUGUCUGUCUGUCUGUCUGUCUGUCUGUCUGUCUGUCUGUCUGUCUGUCUGUCUGUCUGUCUGUCCAUCUCCACCCACCACUAUCUGACUGCUACAGACCUCCACCACCCUAUAUACUUAAUCUGUCCUAA
rnacentral:lncRNA from 8 species